rnacentral:lncRNA from 1 species
GGACCAGCUGCUUCACUUCCUGAUGGCCCUGUCUAGCCGACAGAAGGUUCUUGUAGCCAGAUUUCUCAGCCACCCGUGAGGUUGAUAAUGGUUAGCAGUGGUCAAUUUAUUGCCCUAUUCCUUCCAGAUGUAAAUCUCAAUUCAGCUAGCAAUUUCCAUGAAGGUUAUUGCCCACCCGGGAGAGUCAUUGUGAAGAAACAGAAGGGUUUCAAAGCCAAAUAUAUAGGUGGCAGGAGAUUGGGGCAAUCACCAUCACUCCCUGGAAGCUGGAAGCUAUGGGAUAAAUUUAUGGUGCACUGUAAGAAUUUCAAAGGUAAAUUGUGAAUCUCUUAUCUGUUGUGUAUUAAUUGUUUUUGUGAGACAAACCAAAAGUAAACAAUUCAUACAGAUAGUGCUUAAAAAGCAUGACACAAGCUGGGAAUAAAAGGCAACCGAAUGCAACUUCAACCCAUGACAAAAUCAUCACUAACUUGCAAGUGCAACAAUCAAAGAACAUGAAUAGUUCAAAAAUUUUCAAAUAUUUGUAAUGAUACAAAAUAAAAUAUGAUAGUAAUCAAAAGAGCCGAUAGUAAAACCCUUGCCUUCGAGAGGAAAAAGGAGGAGACACAAAUUUAAUACAAAAAGAAGAAUGAAAAUUGUAAUGAAUAAAGAUCAUGUUCAAGAUGAUGAGCAGCAAGCCUUUUUCGUGUUGGCCUCUUGUGCUCCGACAAUGAUGGUCUUCCCUUCUUUGAUACUUGCAGGUGCCGGCUCAUCUGAAGAAAGCGACUUCUUACUAAUUAUGCGGUAUAUUUCAGAGAGAAUGGUCUGGAAAGCCUUCUCAACAUUUGUUGCUUCCAGCGCAGAUGUCUCGAU